rfam:Camelus ferus unplaced genomic scaffold scaffold2080, whole genome shotgun sequence.
GAGGGUAUGGCUCGGUGGUAGAGUCCAUACUUAGCAUGCAUGAGGUCCUGGGUUCCAUCCCCAGUACCUCCA